GUGCAUAGGUCAUCCACUUUUAUAACACAGAAGAAAUUGAGCACACAUCUUUUAGAUGGCUUGGGAUCACACGCAUAAGAAAUUUCCACACACACACAUAAGAAACUUUGCAUGGAACAAUGGAAGACUCGGAAAAUGAUAAUUAAUUAAUGGGCAACCCUUGAUUAAGCAUGCAAUACUCUGUUGUAAGUCAGCUAACUACUUUCACAAAAUAAAAAACCUAAAACGCGUCUUAGACAUUAUAUAUAUAUAUAUAUAUGUGUGUGUGUGUGUGUGUGUGUGUAUAAGUAGUUGCAUGGGGACGAAUAAGGAGCCAAACUUGUAUAUCAAUCUACAAUAUGGUUCACAAGGCUAGCGUUGUUUACAUGAUUCCCAUCAUUAUAUUGUUAUUGUUCUCAUCUGAAGUAGUCUUUGCCAAUGUUUAUGAAAAUUCAAAACACAAUGAGUUAGAGAAGACGGUCAGUAAGUUGCGUUUGCAAAUGGAGAUUAUUAAAGCAAAGAAAGUAGGCGUACCAAUACCAACUACGCCGUCUGGAGGGGGUACCAACUAAGUAGUAAUUUGGUUUACUUUUAUGUUGGGAUAAUUUAUAAGAUAAUUUCUGUAAUUUCGAAAGUUCUGAUAAGAUGUAAUCUUUUGGAUUAAAGUCGUCUACAAAUUGUAAUCUUCUUUAUUUUGUGUCUAUGAAUAAGAAUCAUAGUUUAUAAUUAA